UCCUACGGGAGGCAGCAGUGGGGAAUAUUGGACAAUGGGCGAAAGCCUGAUCCAGCAAUGCCGCGUGUGUGAAGAAGGUCUUCGGAUUGUAAAGCACUUUUGGCAGGGACGAUGAUGACGGUACCUGCAGAAUAAGCCCCGGCUAACUUCGUGCCAGCAGCCGCGGUAAUACGAAGGGGGCUAGCGUUGCUCGGAAUGACUGGGCGUAAAGGGCGCGUAGGCGGCACACACAGUCAGAAGUGAAAUUCCUGGGCUCAACCUGGGGACUGCUUUUGAUACGUGUGAGCUAGAGUGGAGAAGAGGGUUGUGGAAUUUCCAGUGUAGAGGUGAAAUUCGUAGAUAUUGGAAAGAACACCGGUGGCGAAGGCGGCAACCUGGUCUUCUACUGACGCUGAGGCGCGAAAGCGUGGGGAGCAAACAGGAUUAGAUACCCUGGUAGUCCACGCCGUAAACGAUGUGUGCUGGAUGUUGGGGAACUUAGUUUCUCAGUGUCGUAGCUAACGCGAUAAGCACACCGCC
rnacentral:rRNA from 1 species